rnacentral:snRNA from 1 species
AUACUUGCGUGGUGUGGGGCCUUGAUGAUCACCGAGGACAAGCCCCCCAGGGCGAGAUGCGGGCAUUGAACUGCGCUCGCGUUGGCCCCUGCCGCUACUCUAGACUGGGGCAGAUGGGGCAUGCAAAUUGCUUAAAUGUGGUUCGAAGCAAGAACGGGCGCCACCGCC